rnacentral:rRNA from 1 species
GAUGAACGCUGGCGGCGUGCCUAAUACAUGCAAGUCGAGCGAACAGACGAGGAGCUUACUCUUCUGACGUUAGCGGCGGACGGGUGAGUAACACGUAGAUAGCCUACCUAUAUGACUGGGAUAACUGCGGGAAACCGGAACUAAUACCGGAUAACAUGUCUAACCGGAUGGUUCAAGAGAGAUAGGCGGUCUUGCUGUCACUUAUAGAUGGAUCCGCUUCGCAUUAGCUAGUUGGUAAGGUAACGGCUUACCAAGGCAGCGAUGCGUAGCCGACCUGAGAGCGUGAUCCGCCACACUGGGACUGAGACACGGUCCAGACUCCUAGGGGAGGCAGCAGUAGGGAAUCUUGGGAAAUGGGGGAAAGCCUGACGGAGCGACGCCGCGCGAGUGAAGAAGGUCUGCGGGUCGUAAAACGCUGUUAUUGGGGAAGAACAAAUGCGUAAGUAACUAAGCAUGUUUUGACGGUACCUAAUAAAAAAGCAACGGCUAACUACGUG